rnacentral:tRNA from 1 species
UCGGUGGUUCAGUGGUAGAAUGCUCGCCUGCCACGCGGGCUGCCGGGUUCGAUUCCCGGCCGA